rnacentral:rRNA from 1 species
AGUGAACGCUGGCGGUAGGCCUAACACAUGCAAGUCGAACGGCAGCACAGUAAGAGCUUGCUCUUACGGGUGGCGAGUGGCGGACGGGUGAGGAAUACAUCGGAAUCUACUUUUUCGUGGGGGAUAACGUAGGGAAACUUACGCUAAUACCGCAUACGACCUACGGGUGAAAGCAGGGGAUCUUCGGACCUUGCGCGAUUGAAUGAGCCGAUGUCGGAUUAGCUAGUUGGCGGGGUAAAGGCCCACCAAGGCGACGAUCCGUAGCUGGUCUGAGAGGAUGAUUAGCUAGACUGGAACUGAGACACGGUCGCGACUCCUACGGGAGGCAGCAGUGCGGACUAUUGGGGAAUGGGGGCAUGCCUAAUCUAGCCAUACCGCGUGAGUGAUGAAGGCCCUCGGCUUGUAGAGCGAUUAUGUUGGGAAAGAUGAGCAGCACUUUAAUACCCCGUUGUUCUGACGGUACCCAAAGAAUAAGCUCCGGCUAACUUCGUG